UACGAAGGGGGCUAGCGUUGUUCGAAAUUACUGGGCGUAAAGCGCACGUAGGCGGAUCUUUAAGUCAGGGGUGAAAUCCCGAGGCUCAACCUCGGAACUGCCUUUGAUACUGGGGAUAUCGAGUCCGGGAGAGGUGAGUGGAACUGCGAGUGUAGAGGUGAAAUUCGUAGAUAUCCGCAAGAACACCAGUGGCGAAGGCGGCUCACUGGCCCGGUACUGACGCUGAGGUGCGAAAGCGUGGGGAGCAAACAGG
rnacentral:rRNA from 1 species